rnacentral:rRNA from 1 species
GAUGAACGCUGGCGGCGUGCUUAACACAUGCCAGUCGAACGGAAAGGCCCAAGCUUGCUUGGGUACUCGAGUGGCGAACGGGUGAGUAACACGUGGGUGAUCUGCCCUGCACUUCGGGAUAAGCCUGGGAAACUGGGUCUAAUACCGGAUAGGACCACAUUUUGGAUGGUGUGGUGGAAAGUUUUUCGGUGUGGGAUGAGCUCGCGGCCUAUCAGCUUGUUGGUGGGGUAAUGGCCUACCAAGGCGUCGACGGGUAGCCGGCCUGAGAGGGUGUACGGCCACAUUGGGACUGAGAUACGGCCCAGACUCCUACGGGAGGCAGCAGUGGGGAAUAUUGCACAAUGGGCGCAAGCCUGAUGCAGCGACGCCGCGUGGGGGAUGACGGCCUUCGGGUUGUAAACUCCUUUCGCUAGGGACGAAGCGUUAUGUGACGGUACCUGGAGAAGAAGCACCGGCUAACUACGUG